rnacentral:lncRNA from 1 species
GCCAGGGUUAAGCCAGAAGGCUCGCGCGCGUACCUCCGAUACCGAAUCACAUGCCGAGACGUGACUCCUAAGUCCUAAGCCCGCCGAAUAAUUAGAGCUUGCCGCUGAAGGAACUGAUGAAUAGCUUCCCAGCAACUCAGAGCCUCCCUGUCCCAUCAUCCUCCUCUUUCACCCAAGAGCGAAGUUAAUCACAGAUAAAUCUGGAAGCUUCUUUCUUGGGAGGAAAGAGACAGCACUGCCCUGGCUCUGCGCUGUGUGCCUGGGAGGACCAUCCCAGCUGCUAGCUGCAGCAAACCUCCAAGGUUGUUCUUGUCCAGGCCGGGUCGGGACCCGUCAUUGGCUCGACGUGGUAUCCUUUUUCCUUUGCCCACUGUUGGUCCCUCCACAAUUCCUGCCCUUGUGCGGUUGUACAAAAGCUGUAUGGUGCGCAACACUGGCCUUUUGAAGCAGCAACUGUCCAGCAAGUGAAGGCUUAGGACCGGCUGCUGAAAACAAUGCUCCAACGCCCACCACGACUCUGCUGAAAACAAUUCACCAAGCUCAAAAAUUGGCUUCGGUCUCCAAGUGAUUGCUGUCUUGGACACCUCUGAAGUUUCAGACUCACAGAAUUUGGUCGUACCAAAAAAUGAGGAUAUCCUGUCCUGCCCGUGUGACCACCAGAGCAGAGCUGUGAGUUUCCUUCUGGCCAGAUUAAAGUGCUAUUCCUCAGUGUUAUCAUGGUCUUACCGCAAAGAUUCCCCGUGGUUUCACAAAAGGUACCGUCACCUAAAGCACACACUUGAGUAGUAACAGCCGCAGGGCAUUACAACUCUUCCAGAUAUCCAUUUAAGCAAUCAGUAACAGCCGCUGGCGACAUGUACAGUUCCUCCCUUGCAUCUCCAAGCUGAGUUCAAUAGGGUAACAAUAACAAUAAUAGAAUGGCAAGCUGUCCGAAUAUUCGAACCUCGAAGCUGAGUGCAAGGUAGCUUUCACUGUGCCACGACCACGACGAUGACUGCCAAUCAGAACAUGAU